AUUGAACGCUGGCGGCAGGCCUAACACAUGCAAGUCGAGCGGAUGAAGAGAGCUUGCUCUCUGAUUUAGCGGCGGACGGGUGAGUAAUGCCUAGGAAUCUGCCUGGUAGUGGGGGAUAACGUCCGGAAACGGGCGCUAAUACCGCAUACGUCCUACGGGAGAAAGCAGGGGACCUUCGGGCCUUGCGCUAUCAGAUGAGCCUAGGUCGGAUUAGCUAGUUGGGGAGGUAAUGGCUCACCAAGGCUACGAUCCGUAACUGGUCUGAGAGGAUGAUCAGUCACCCGCGAACUGAGACACGGUUCAGACUCCUACGGGAGGCAGCAGUGGGGAAUAUUGGACAAUGGGCGAAAGCCUUAUCAAGCCAUGCCGCGUGUGUGAAGAAGGUCUUCAGAUUGUAAAGCACUUUAAGUUGGGAGGAAGGGCAGUAAGUUAAUACCUUGCUGUUUUGACGUUACCGACAGAAUAAGCACCGGCUAACUUCGUGCCAGCAGCCGCAGUAAAAC
rnacentral:rRNA from 1 species